AAAGAAGCAAUAAAUUUGACAGUUAUCAAAAUCACGACACGAAUUAAAAUAUCUCGGACAAAUUAGCAAAAAUUUUCGGAGUGUUUUAUAUCAAUAAAUUUAAAAAUAAGCAAAAUGUGUAACAGAAUGAACAUGAUAAACAAAUUACAAGCCAUUGUAUCUGAAAUACAACGUGGUGGUUGUCCUUCGCCAUGCUGUUCACCAUGUCAGCCCUCUCCGUGUUGUGGAGGAGCUGGCUCCCUCGUCACAGUUUACAGUCAAGUAGCACAUAUACAGUGACCCGGUGACAUGCGCUUCACCUAAAUGCAGUGCUUGCCGUAGGACAGCCUCCACAACCUGUAGCGGCUUUCGACAAAGCAGUGAUUGCUAUAGGGCACCACGGUACCAGCAUGAAGACUUGUUGAUAUUUAUAACUGAAAUUGUCCCUAGUUUUGGUUUAUACAUUGUAACGUAAAAUUGAUAUUUGAAUAAAGUUUGUGACUGUAUGUUA